AUUUGCUAUGGGCUGUGGGACAUCUGUGAAUAAUCUCUGAAGGAAAACGCUCUUCUGUAACAUGUGCUGAACCUGUGAAUGGGAGAGAACUAGCAUCCACAUUGUCCAUAGUAGAAAAUGAUGGUCUUCUUUGGAGAUGAUCUCCGUUUCCAGAAGGAGAAGCCGUGGCUUGCCCAUCCUCUUCAACUCCUUCAGCACUGAUUGUUCCAACCGUGAUAGCCUGCUCCAAAGUUUGCCCCACCAUUGGCUGGCCAGUGGCCAAUCAGAUACUCUCAAUGCCGUGAUCCGAGAUUGGGCUUUGGGCCCUGAACUGUGAUGUCACAGAACCUGGGACCUGCACCCAUGCUGGGCUAAGACAAGGGGCAGAGGCAGAGAGAGAGAGAGGAGCCACCCUGAGAAGGAAGAGACCAGGUGGGCUCUGAGACAGGGAGACCCUUUCUACGUCGGUGCCUUGACAUGUGACUUUUUUGUCACUUCGUGCUCCAGGAUCACACCUGGAUGAACUAUCACUUUCAAAUGACCUUGUCUUUUCUCGGGCCUUCUGAACUGAUCAUCUCUUCCUUCUGAUACAAGAGGAUCUUCCCUGGAAGACCACUGCACACCUUCUAGUAACACUGCGACCCUGGAUAAUAUUCUACUUUGAAGAACACCAGUAGACCGAAGCAAGAUGACUAAUUUUUAAUGCCAAAGUAUGCAAAACCUGCCACUUCACUGGCAAGCCAUGAAUUAUUCAUAAAUAUAGACUU
rnacentral:lncRNA from 10 species